GACGAACGCUGGCAGCGUGCCUAAUACAUGCAAGUCGAGCGGACAGAAGGGAGCUUGCUCCCGGAAGUUAGCGGCGGACGGGUGAGUAACACGUGGGCAACCUACCCUGUAGAUCGGGAUAACAUCGAGAAAUCGGCGCUAAUACCGGAUGAUCAUUUGAAGUGCAUGCUUCGAAUGUAAAAGAUGGCUCCGGCUAUCACUACGGGAUGGGCCCGCGGCGCAUUAGCUAGUUGGUAAGGUAAUGGCUUACCAAGGCAACGAUGCGUAGCCGACCUGAGAGGGUGAUCGGCCACACUGGGACUGAGACACGGCCCAGACUCCUACGGGAGGCAGCAGUAGGGAAUCUUCCGCAAUGGACGAAAGUCUGACGGAGCAACGCCGCGUGAGUGAUGAAGGUUUUCGGAUCGUAAAGCUCUGUUGUUAGGGAAGAACAAGUGCCGUUUGAAUAAGGCGGCACCUUGACGGUACCUAACCAGAAAGCCACGGCUAACUACGUGCCAGCCGCCGCAGUAAGAC
rnacentral:rRNA from 1 species